rnacentral:rRNA from 1 species
CCUACGGGAGGCAGCAGUGAGGAAUAUUGGUCAAUGGACGAGAGUCUGAACCAGCCAAGUAGCGUGAAGGAUGACUGCCCUAUGGGUUGUAAACUUCUUUUAUAAAGGAAUAAAACGAGGCACGUGUGCCUUUUUGCAUGUACUUUAUGAAUAAGGCUCGGCUAACUCCGUGCCAGCAGCCGCGGUCAUACGGAGGAUCCGAGCGUUAUCCGGAUUUAUUGGGUUUAAAGGGAGCGUAGAUGGGUUGUUAAGUCAGUUGUGAAAGUUUUCGGCUCAACCGUAAAAUUGCAAUUGAUACUGGCAGUCUUGAGUACAGUUGAGGUAGGCGGAAUUCGUGGUGUAGCGGUGAAAUGCUUAGAUAUCACGAAGAACCCCGAUUGCGAAGGCAGCUUACUAAACUGUGACUGACAUUGAUGCUCGAAAGUGUGGGUAGCAAACAGGAUUAGAUACCCUAGUAGUC